AAACCAACAGGGAUUGCCCUAGUAACGGCGAGUGAAGCGGCAACAGCUCAAAUUUGAAAUCUGGCCCUUGCGGUCCGAAUUGUAAUUUGUAGAGGAUGCUUUUGGUGCGGUGCCUUCUGAGUUCCCUGGAACGGGACGCCAGAGAGGGUGAGAGCCCCGUACGGUUGGACACCUAGCCUAUAUAUAGCUCCUUCGACGAGUCGAGUAGUUUGGGAAUGCUGCUCUAAAUGGGAGGUAAAUUUCUUCUAAAGCUAAAUACCGGCCAGAGACCGAUAGCGCACAAGUAGAGUGAUCGAAAGAUGAAAAGCACUUUGAAAAGAGGGUUAAAUAGCACGUGAAAUUGUUGAAAGGGAAGCGUUUGCGACCAGACUUUUUCCAGGCGGAUCAUCCGGUGUUCUCACCGGUGCACUUCGUCUGGUUUAGGCCAGCAUCGGUUUUCUUAGGGGGAUAAAGGCUUGGGGAACGUAGCUCUUUCGGGAGUGUUAUAGCCCCUUGCGUAAUACCCCUCGGGGGACCGAGGAACGCGCUCUGCAAGGAUGCUGGCGUAAUGGUCGUCAACGAC
rnacentral:rRNA from 1 species